ensembl:lncRNA
CGUAUAUUAACCUUAAAUCUCCCUUUCUUUGGGUUAAAACAAAUCAAAAUAGAAGCCUAUUGUUAUGAAUUACUGGCCUGGCUGACUUUUGUGAAUAAUUCUUAGAAAUCCCUAGACCAAGAAAAUGGGGUACAGACUGGAACAUUCUCCUAAUAGAUGGAACCCAGAACUGAAUACUCCAGGCCACAACAACAUAUAAUGGAAUACACCUUGUCAUCUCGUGUCAAGUCAACAAAAAGAGCAGUAGAGAUACCUGAUGAUUGUUAAGUUGGAGACUGCAAAUUAACCAUGAAGAAAUAUACCAGAAAUAGCAUAAAGGACAUAAAAGUGAUGGCCAGAAAACAACAGGUCAGUUACAUAUCAAGAGUGAGGGAUAACAGAGAGAUAGGCUGUAUUACCAUUGAUACCCACAUGUCAAGAAAUCUAGAGCAAAGCUUUAAACACAUUGAAUGGAUCCACUAUGGAGAAUUUAUGGAGGAACAAGAAAAAGGGUCACACAAGUAUGAGUUGUAGAUACAUUGUGACUUGUACCACUGGAGGAAGUACUUAUCUCGAUGAGUAUAAACAUCAAAGAAUAAAUAAGUCUGCUUUAUUUCUGACUUCUUAAGUGGGAAGAAAGACCUCCUGUAUCCAUGCUUCAUUAAGAUAAAUUACUCUUUGAUAUCUUAAUCAGAAGGCCUGUGUUGUACCUAUUUUUGUAUCCCUGGCACUUAGUAUGGUGUCUUACACAGAAUAGGCAUUUAAUAAAUAUUGGAUUUAAUAGAAGUUUAUCUGGAAGAGAUCUAUGAAAUUAUGUCACUUGGUUAAUUGGGUUGAACAGGCACACUGCAAAUGAAGCAAGCAUCUAAAGAUACCAGAGAUCUUGACAAUAAACUGGGAAAAAAAAAAAAAAGGAGGCAAAGGAUGAAAUUGGCAGAAGGGUGUUUGAGUUUAGAAUUUUGCAAAGGACCAUUUAUCUUUUGUUAAAUGUACUUUUCCACUCACCUAGUUUCAGGGUUGGUUUUCUUUUAAUGGACAUCUUUAUUUACACUUAUUUAAAAAAAAAACUCAAUAAACAAAACCUGUUGUUUCUUAUAGACCAAGUUUUCUAAUUUCUACUAAUAGCAGUUUUGAAAAAUGGAUCAUUUUUUUCUAUUUUGCUGAGACAAUUUUGAUUCUCCCCUUUAUAUUUUAUUCUCAAGGAACUACGACUUUAUAUUAUUAGCCAUCUUUCUGUAUGGCUUGAUUUUGUUUUGGGUUUUGAAUGUCUACUAUUCCUUUACAGGUUCUAUGAGGCACAAGUAUUUGGGUGACAAGCCCAUAUAAGCUCCCGGAAUUGUUCUGAGGUGGACCCCAAGAAUGUUAUAAAUAUUUUUUUUAAUUUACCAGGAACAAAAGAGGACUUCUCAGCCGGGCUUAGUGCCUCUGAAUACCAUCUGGCUAAUCACAUAAUGGCUGUUCAGGUGAAGGAGUUAGUGGUUUUAAAACAAAACUGGGAGAGGCUUGAGCUAAAAAAGCACAAUGGACCUUAUGAACCUGUAUCUUCGCAUGCAGAACUCAUAUAUUUGUAGAGGAUACCAUUUGUUAGUAAUUGUCCAAAGCCUGUGGCACAUUCUUUUGAAUGUACUCAAUGGUGGCAAAUUUCCAUUGUUUGAAAGUAGAUUUUUAUAUUUGGAAACAGACGUCAUCAGAUUGUUCAAUUCUGAUGAGUCAGAAAAAGCUGGUCAAAAGUGUUUUUUGGGGGGAGAGGGAAGGAGGCCUGAAAAGAAAUCAUGCUUAUAAAGAGACUAGUUUUCUUCUGUUUUAGCCUUUAGACCCAACUCCAGUGGGAUAACUGCACCAAUCUUUUGUCAUACUCAACUCUGCCUCCUGGAUGUCCCCAUCCCCUUCCAUUGCUGCCAUGGAAUUAUGUUGGGGCCUAGAAGUUGGGCACAGUGGAGACCUAGGGGCAGGACAACUGCCUCCCUCCAAGUAACCCAUAUCUUUCUGGUGCUGAGGGCUUUUAUGCCUCUCUGGAGACCUAAGUGGAAAAUUCUAACUGGGAGCUUUAUUAUUCACUCAAACAAGCCGCCUCUAGGGAGGCAGAUUUGGAGGAGGCUCUAAGAAUCCAGGGUGAAUCUGCUACACUAUUGCUUGGGAGGUUAGUAACCUCCCAGCUAACAGAGCUGAUGGCACUGUAAGCCAUUCUGGAACAGGAGUUCCAAGCCUGAUUCGGACAAUGGCCACAAUUCCGAAAGACAUUCAAAAGGUGCCUACUUUUAAAAUGGUGCAACUUAUUGGACUAAAAUCCCAACAUAUUUAAACAAAAUCUUAUUUCACAGUCAUAUUUCUACAUGUUAAACACCUUUUUUUGAAGAACAUUAAUGAUAUCAAAUGUUAAGGAAAUAUUGUCUCAUUUGAUAGAAAGGUCGCCAAGGCCAGAGAAGAUUAUUUGCUGACUUUUGUCUGCCUGCAACUUACUGAAAUGUUUCCUAUAAAGCCAGUUUAUAAGAAUGUCAUUUGGAAAGACAUUUUGAUCCUACAAGCUCAUAUAAGGAUUAGUCACAUAUCAGGCUGGUUAGUACCAUCUAGAGGGGCCAUUUUUAUGCCCAUAUCUGCUGCCUCCAAUCCAAACUCCUGAAGGAGAAAAGGAAGUACUACUUUGCUCAAGCACCAUUCAAUUUCCUUUACUUCCAACUCAGAGCCCUGGAGUUCCUGCGAGGAUCUAAUAAUGCCUUAUUUAUGAGAGAGGUCAAAGACCCUUCGCUAAUGCAUAUAUUCCAUCCACAUACUUCCUAAUCCAGUCAAGCAAUCCAACUUGAAUCUAUGCUUUUACUUUUCUUUUUUUUUUUGGCUUUCUUUCCCUUUUGUCUUCUGUUCCACAAAACAUCCUCUAACUCCUUUCCAGAUUAAGUUCUGAUUUCCCCUAAAAUUUCCAAGACUUUUUUUUUUACAUUCUAAAAACAUUAAGAGGAAACCAAGCUGAUACUUUCUUGCUUAUUCUAUAUCUAGCACAGAAUUUAAUUAGUACAUUUUUAUCCAGUUAGGUUUCCCUUUUAUGGAUAGUUGUAUAAGUAUCUUGCUUUCUUAGUUUAUAUGCUGCACAAGAGCUAGCUUUUAAAUUGGAAGUAUAUAACGCCUUUUACAACAUCAUUCAUGUGUUUAAUAUUUAGUUUACUCUUAUGCCCUUAUCAUGGUAUUCCAAAACUGGUUAUAUCCUUAUGUCCCAUGUGAUAAGGUUAACUAGAGUUGGUCUACAACUCAGGUUAAAACCUAUACCUAUUACAAAGUCCCUAUCUUACUAAUAUCCAAAUAACUACUUGAGACUUACCACUAGAAAAGAUAAAUAAACUAGAAGGAAAAUACCAAGAUUUCUGAGCCAGAAGUGAAGAUGGUUUCGUGUGGAAUUAGAGCCAAUAAUCAUUUAUUAAGCACCUACUACAUGCCAGGUACUAUGACAAGCUCUGGAAAUACAAACAACAGCAAAAAAUACAUAAUAAUAAUAAUAAUUUUAAAAGUCUAAUGAGGAACACAUGUAAACAACUGUACAAACAAAAUAUAUACAGGAAAAACAAGUAAUUUCUAAGGGAAGGAAGGCACUAACAUUAAGGGAGAUUGGGAAAGGCUUCUCACAGAUGGGAUUUUAGCUGAGAUUUAAAUGAAAUCAGAGGAUGCAGAGAUUAGGAGGGAAAAAAUUUUAGGUGUAAAGGACAGCCAGUGAAAAUGCACAGAACAGGGAGAUGGGAGUGUUAGUUACAGUAACUGCUAGGAGGACAGUCAUGAGAUCACAAAGUACAUGGUGGGUGGGAAAGAGUAAGGUGUUGAAAAGAUAGGAAGGGGCCAGAUUAUGUAUGAAAGGCCUUAAAAGUUUAUAUUUGCUCACAGAGCUAGUUCAGAGGGAGUCCCUAUAAUUUACUGAAUGGGAUAUGUGACAUGGUCAGAUCUGAGCUUUAAGAACACCAAUUUGAUUGCUGAAUGGAGAGAGGCUUGAAGGAGACAAACUAACAGGCUAUUAUGAGGUGAUGAGGGCCUGCAAUGGAGUAGCAGCAGUAUUAAAUAAAGGAGGAAUGCUGCAAAGGUAGAAUCCACAAGACUUGGCAACUGAUUGAAGAUGGGGGUGAGAGUGUUGUGUCAAGGAUGACCCCAAGAUGUAAGCCUGGGUGACUGGGAAAAUGGUAAUGGUCUCAACAGUAAUAAAGAAUUUAGGAAGGGGGGAGGUUUGGAGAAAAGACAAUGGAUUCAAUUUUAGAUAAAUUUAAGAUGUCUAUGAGAUAUCCAGUUCAAGAUAGCCAUUAAACAACUGUAGAUGUAAAGAUGGAGAUAAGCAGAGAGAAAUAAAUAAUAUAAAUAAAUCCACAGGAGUAGAUGAGAUCAUUAAAUAAUGUAGAGGAAGAAAAAGGCCUGGGACAGAGCUUUGGGAGGUUAUUCUGGUAUGGGGAUGUGAACUGGAGGAAGAUCCACUGGAGUGAAGUCAGAUAGAUAGGUAAGUCAGCAGAAACCUAGAGAAAAGAUUAGCAAAGAGAAGAAUAUGAUCAACAACUUUAAAGGUUGCAAAAAUCAAGGAAGAUGAGGGUUUUUAAAAGGCCAUUAAAUGUAGCAAUUAAAGAGGUUAUUUGGGGAAAGGCUGAACAAAUUAUGGUACAUGAACAUGAAGGAAUAGUAUGCUAUAACAAAUAAGUAACUGGAUUCAGAAUUGUAUGAACUGAUACGAAGUGAGCAGAACCUAGAAAAUAAAUUAUAUAGUAAGGCAGUAUUUUAAAAAUAAUUUCAAAAGACUUAGUAACUCUCAUCAACAAAAUGACCAACCAGUUUCAAAAGUUCAUGAUAAACCAUGCUAUUCACUCCAGAGAGAACUGACAAGAGUGCAGAAUGAAGAAUAUUUUCUUCUAAGGCUAAUGUGGAUGCUUGUUUAGCAUCUCUAUACAUAUUUGUAAUAGGUAUCAUUUUUCUUGCCUUCUUAAUGAGUGGGGAAGGGAGAAAAUUUGGAACUGAAAAUAAGGCAAAACUGAAUUUAAAAAAAUAAAGUGCUAAAAUCAUAAAAUUUUGUAGAUAGCAAUUUCAGUUGAAUGAUGAAGCUGAAAUGUAGUCUGCAAAGUUUAGAGGAAAGGAAAUGGAGAAAUUUGAGUUUAGCCCCAAAAGGGAGAAAAGAUCUAAGAAGACAGCUAGUGAGGGUUUUUGUUUGUUUUUUUGAGGAUGAGAAAGACUAUUGUAUGUUUGUGGGUAGAAGGGAAGUGGCCAGAAGACUGAAAAAGUGACAAUAAGUGAAAGAGUGGAUAAUCUGUUGAAGAAGAUGGGAUGGAAUAGGAUUACUCCUAAAAGGGUUUGCCUUAGCAAGAAGGAACAACUUUUCAUAGUAGACAAGGGUGGAAAAAUGGCAGAAUACAUCUGUUUGUGAGAUGAGAGUGCUGGCACAGAGCCUCAAUGUUUUCGGUUCAAAUGAUAGAACCUGGAUCCAAAUUUUAGUUUUGCUACUUAAAACCUGUGUGAUUUUAAAUAAGUCACUUCACAUCUUUCUGAGCCUCAGGGUUUUGGUUUGGAUUUUUUUAGUUUUUGUCUAAAGGGGUCAGAUUAGAUGAUUUCAAAAAUCUCUUCUAGUUUUAAAUCCCCAAAGAGAAUCACCAACAGUAAAUUGAUUGUAACUGACUUGAACACUUAUACUUUAACCUUACACUUACCUGAUGCUAUAUUUUCCAAAGCAUUUUUUGCUUAUUAUCUGUCUAUAUCU